rnacentral:rRNA from 1 species
UACGUAGGCAGCGAGCGUUGUUCGGAAUUACUGGGCGUAAAGGGCUCGUAGGCGGCCAACUAAGUCGGAUGUGAAAUCCCCAGGCUUAACCUGGGAACUGCAUCCGAUACUGGAUGGCUUGAAUUCGGGAGAGGGAUGCAGAAUUCCAGGUGUAGCGGUGAAAUGCGUAGAUAUCUGGAGGAAUACCGGUGGCGAAGGCGGCAUCCUGGACCGACAUUGACGCUGAGGAGCGAAAGCUAGGGGAGCAAACGGG